UACGUAGGGGGCGAGCGUUGUCCGGAUUUAUUGGGCGUAAAGAGCGUGUAGGCGGCCAGGUAGGUCCGUUGUGAAAACUAGAGGCUCAACCUCUAGACGUCGAUGGAAACCAUCUGGCUAGAGUCCGGAAGAGGAGAGUGGAAUUCCUGGUGUAGCGGUGAAAUGCGCAGAUAUCAGGAAGAACACCCGUGGCGAAGGCGGCUCUCUGGGACGGUACUGACGCUGAGACGCGAAAGCGUGGGGAGCGAACAGG
rnacentral:rRNA from 1 species